rnacentral:rRNA from 1 species
UACGUAGGGUGCGAGCGUUAAUCGGAAUUACAGGGCGUAAAGCGUGCGCAGGCGGUUUGUUAAGACAGAUGUGAAAUCCCCGGGCUUAACCUGGGAACUGCAUUUGUGACUGGCAAGCUAGAGUAUGGCAGAGGGGGGUAGAAUUCCACGUGUAGCAGUGAAAUGCGUAGAGAUGUGGAGGAAUACCGAUGGCGAAGGCAGCCCCCUGGGCCAAUACUGACGCUCAUGCACGAAAGCGUGGGGAGCAAACAGG